AGUGAACGCUGGCGGCGUGCUUAACACAUGCAAGUCGAACGAGAACGGAUUAUACCUUGUUAUAAUUUUCAGCUAAGUGACGCAAGGGUGAGUAAUGUAUAGGUAAUAUGCCUCUUACUAAGGGAUAACAAAUGGAAACGUUUGCUAAUACCUUAUACUCCUUAUUAACAGAAGUUAAUAAGGGAAAGAUUUAUUGGUAAGAGAUUAGCCUGUAUUGUAUCAGUUAGUUGGUGGGGUAAUGGCUUACCAAGACUAUGACACAUAACUGGUUUGGGAGGUUGAUCAGGCACACGAGAACUCAGACAAGCUCCAGAAUCCAAGGGGCGGCAGCAGUGAUGAAUAAUGCACACUGGACGAAAGUCAGAAGCAGCGACGGUGCGAGGGGGAUGACACAUUUCGGUGCGUAAUCUCCUUUUAUAUGAGAAGCUAAUGACGGUAUUAUAUGAAUAAGCACCGGCUAACUCCGUGCCAGAAGCCGCCGUAA
rnacentral:rRNA from 1 species